AAUCGUUUUUUGUUGGAAAAUCCAAAUUCAAGAUUGGAGUUCCUGCCGUAUAGUUCAAAACUUAUUCUACAGUGCAAAAUAGCUUUACUGCAAAGUCUACGCAGCUAAUUGAUUGGACUAUGAAAACCCCCUCUCAUUUGUGAAGACUGAAAAAGAAGUAUCCAGUUAGUGAAAGAGAGAGAGAGAAAGAGUGCACACGAGUCAUCGCAAGUGUUUGGUAGCCGUCAGUCACACUAGUGUUGCUCAAGUAAUUGCACGUCCAUUUUUCGUGAUUUUCGAAUAAGUUCUGAUUACUAUUUUUGUAACGUAGAAUGUAAUGUGUUGAAGAUGAUUUAGAUAAGAACGCAAUCGUAGUGGUUUUUACGUGUAAAUGUGACGUUUCGCUGUGUUUUAGCAUUGGUAAAUGUAAAUUAUGCAGUGGUGCACAGGCAUUUUACGUUCAAACUGUAAAGAGCAUGAUGAUGCCUGUUUAUAUUCGUGAAGUAAAGGUCAAAAUCGGUCUUACCUGAUCAACAUGCAAACAUGGCCACGAGACUGAAUUCUCCCGACUACUACGCAAAAGCAGAGGUAUUAAUUCGAGAAGAUGUGGGAGCCACCAUUAUGCAUGACUCCAUUAAGAGCCUUCUCCGUCAUCAGCCUGUAGCAUCUGGCGAUAAGCACAAGUGUCUUCAGAUCGUCUAUCAGCAGUUAGCAGAGGCUGUGCAGUCCUUUUGAAGUCUGUGGAACUGAACAUCAUGAGGUGUAUAUGGAGUUAUUUGAUCACUAACUCUGAACACAUGCUGCCCUUCCUACAGAGAUGAAAAUAUAUAACAUGCUCAGAGGUAAUAACUACGUGCAUCGUCCCGCGGGCGGGAUAGGAAGAUGAAAUGCACAUUAUAACUCCAAAAAAAUAAUGUACAAGAUACAAAGCAAGAAAUGCAGAAGAUGCUAUUAAUCUGGGAACACGAGGAAAUGGGAACCUGUAUAAGGAAUUGCACGAAUAAUUAAUGCGGUGGAUAGUCAAGAAAAGACAAGAAUUUUCACACCAUUUCAUACAAGUAUACGAACUACAGUUUUAAGUCGCUGCCAUUACCUGAUCUGGGAACAUGAGAAGCUGGAACCUUGCAUAAAGAAAUGUCGCAGGAUUCCAGACGUCGGGCUCUCCACUGCGUUCCAAGUGUUCAAUGAUAAAGUCCAAUACUUACGUUCUUCCUCACUACUUACAUUUAUAAGGUAUAAUAAAGAAAACAAACAUA